AUCCUUUUGUAGUUCAGAAGCAUGAUGAUGGGGUGUUCACACCAUUGUGUGACAUGUGCCUUCCUCAAACCUUGUUUUGACCAUGGCACAUUAUCCGUCUGAUG
ensembl:snoRNA small nucleolar RNA U13